GCGUCAGCCAGGGGUGGAGGAAGCAGAAAAGGCUCUCUCACCUCUAACGCCGCAGUGGAUUAGAGCAUCUGAGAAGCUCUGGAAAAAACCUCUCAGGAAAACAACGACUUCAGCAGGACCCACUAGCCAAGGAAAGGGGAUAAAAUAAAUAGCAAAGGGAAGGAAAAACACGCACCUCUGGGAUGCUGCAGGUCCUGUUGCAGCCGCCGCCAUCCCUCGAAGCCACCGUUGCUUCUGCCAGAGCUGCUACUAGCGCGCUUAUCAGCUCCGCCACCGCCCAAGGGGGAAACUUCUGCAGAAACCCCAACCGAGCUUCCGUCGACUGUUCUACAUUUGGCCUGUGCCCAUGGCCAUGUGGAAGUGGUCACUCUCUUGCUGGGGAGAAGAUGCCUGAUUGACAUCUGUGACAGACUAAACAGGACGUCUUUAAUGAAGGAGGGAAACACUCCACUUUUGUUUGCUAUAAAUUCUGGGAGACAGCAUGUGGUGGAAUUCUUAUUGAAGAACCAGGCAAAUAUACAUGCCGUUGACAAUUUCAGAAGUUCUGCCAAGGAAAGAGAAAAUACCUUUUAAUCCCAGGGAAAGGAUUGCAAUCACCACAUUAUAAGAUCCCUGAACUUCAGAGAGUAUUGCCAUUUGGAUUCAUGGAGUUGGCGAACUGCUACACUGCUACCUUGUAGAACUAUGGGGGUAUGAAACAAGGCUGAAGGCUUUUAACCAUGGGAGAAAAAGGUGUUGGUAUUAUUCAUAUAGCAUAACCUGAGGUUGGAGAGGACCACUUGGGAGCCUGUAACCAAAACUAGAAGGUAACUUCUGGGAUGGACGGAGGUUCCCUUGAAGCAGUGCCAACCUAAAUCUACCUCAGAACAGCCCUCAUGCUUGCAGUACAGCAUAGCUCGUCAAGUAUCAUCAGCCUCCUCCUUCAACAAAAUAUAAAUAUCUUUUCUCAAGACAUGUUUGGCCAAAUGGCUGAGGAUUAUGCUGUUUAUUGUGAUUUGAGAAGCAUUCAACAACAAAUUUUGGAACAUAAAAAUAAGAAACUUAAAAAUCAUCUUUGAAAUGACAAUCAAGAAACAGCAGCUAUGAAGCCUGCAAAUUUGAAAAAAAGAAAAGAAGGUGCAAAAGCAGAACACGACUUAAAAGUGCCUUCAGAGGAAAAGCAAGAAAGGCUUGAAAGAAGUGAAAAUAAACAGCCACGGGAUUCUCAAAGUUAUGGAAAAAAGAAGGAUGUGAUGUAUGGAAAUUAUAUGUUGAAGAGAGACAUUGCCAUGCUCAAACAGGAAUUAUACGCAAUAAAAAAUGACAGUCUCAGAAAGGAAAAAGAAUAUAUUCAUGAAAUUAAAAGUAUUACAGAAAUAAAUGCUAACUUUGAAAAGAGUGUAAGACUCAAUGAAGAAAUGAUAACAAAAACAAUUGCCCAGUAUUCACAAGAGCUCAAUGAUCUGAAAGCUGAGAAUUCAAGGCUGAAUUCAAAAUUGGAGAAGGAAAAACACAACAAAGAGAGACUAGAAGCUGAAGUCAAAUCCCUCCAUUCUAGCCUGGCAACUGCUAUAAAUGAGUACAAUGAAAUUUUGGAAAGAAAAGACCUAGAACUAGUUUUACAGAGAGCAGAUGAUGUUUAUGGACAAGAAAAAAUGGGUUCUGAUAUUUCUCAACUAACAGAUAAGAAUGAGUUGCUUACUAAACAACUUUCUAAAGCUCGGGUGAAGUUCAGUACCUUAAAAGCUAAGCUGCAUGAGACAAGAGAUGCUCUCAGGGAAAAGACAUUGGCUUUAGAAAGUGUACAGAUGGACCUAAAGCAAGCACAGCAUCAAAUAAAGGAAAUGAAGCAGAUGCAUCCAAAUGAGGAAGCUAAGGAGAGUCAAUCCACUGGAACGCAGAACUCUUUAGAGGAGAGAAUAUGUCAACAAGAACUCGAAAAUCUCUUGCUUGAACAACAACUAGAGGAUGCUCAUAAGGAAGGCCAUAAUGAAGAGAUAGUCAUUAAUAUCCAAGGAGGCUGUCUUGAGAAUGGAAAGGAAGAUCUUCUAGAAGAAAAAAGUAUGGAAUUAAUGAAUGAAUAUAAUUAUUUUAAAGAAAAACUUUCAGUAUGAAAAAGAAGCAGCAGAAGGAGAAGGAAGUGAUUGUAAGACAACUUCAAGAAGAACUGGCUGAUCACCUUAAAAAAUUUUCAAUGUCAGAGUCUCCACUGGAAGGUACAUCAUAUUGUCAUAUUAAUUUGGAUGAGACACGGACUUCAAAGAAGAAAUUAUUUCAAGUAGAAAGUCAACCUGAAGAAAAACAUGAAGAACUCGGAAAACUUUUUGAGUUAAUAUCAUCACUGGACUGUAAUGUAGAUCAAAUAAGAAAGAAAAAUCAUGAAUUAGAAGAAGAGGCAACUGGAUGUAAGAAAUGCCUAGAAACGACAAUAAAUAUGUUAAAUGUAUUUGGAAAUGAAGACUUCAGUUGCCAUGGAGACUUAAAUACAGAUCAACUGAAAAUGGAUAUUCUGUUUAAGAAGCUAAAACAGAAGUUUGAUGAUCUUAUGGCCGAGAAGGAAGCUGUAUCUUCAAAAUGUGUCAAUUUGGCCAAAGACAAUGAAGUUCUUCAUCAGGAGUUAUUAUCUAUGAGAAAAGUACAAGAGAAAUGUGAAAAACUUGAGAAGGAUAAAAAGAUGUUGGAAGAAGAAGUAUUAAAUCUUAAGACACAUAUGGAAAAAGAUAUGGUAGAACUUGGUAAAGCACAAGAAUAUAAAUCGGAGCUGGAUGAAAGGGCAAUGCAGGCAAUAGAAAAAUUAGAAGAAAUCCAUUUACAGGAACAAGCAGAAUAUGAAAAACAAUUAGAGCAGUUAAACAAGGAUAAUACGGCUUCACUAAAAAAGAAGGAACUCACAGUUAAAGAUGUGGAAUGUAAAUUCUCCAAAAUGAAAACUGCUUAUGAAGAGGUUACAACUGAAUUAGAAGAAUAUAAGGAAGCCUUUGCAGUAGCAUUGAAAGCUAACAAUUCCAUCUCAGAAAAAAUAAUGAAAUCAGAUAAGAAAAUAGCAGUGAUCAGCACCAAGCUCCUUAUGGAGAAAGAACGGAUGAUAUUUUCUCAGCACUCUUCCUAUGAGGCCAGACCCAGAGUUACCUUGUGUUGAAAAUCUUAAUAGUAUAGGACUCAACAGAAAAUAUAUUCCCAAAAUGCCCCUAAGAAUUCCUACUUCAAACCCACAGACUUCAAAUAACUGCAAGAACUCCUUGACUGAGCUUUUGCUGUGUUGAACACUUGCUCCCAUCUCCUUUCUUCUCUAGAAUCCACUGGUAAGCCACAUCUAAUGAAGAGAAUAUUUAACCAUAAAAUCUUAAGGAAAAGCAUGAAUUAAAAGAUCAUAAAACUUUAUUACUGGGCUAUUUACAUGAAAUUUUAAUUGUUUCUCAUAAAAUAUAAAACAUCACAAUCUUUACUAAAGUAGAAUAUUUUCAUAUCAUGUAUGAUGAAUAUUUAUAUGUUAUUUUAAAUGAUGUUUUUUAGCCUCCUUAAGUUUUAAGUGGAUCUUGCAAAUGAACACCAGUAUUAUUGAGUUUGACCUACUCAAAUUGCCUGAAUGCCAGCUGUUUAAACAGCCAAACAACCAAGUCAUCAUUGAUACUUUAGUAAAGGUCAUCGAAGGCUUCUUUGCAUUUUACAGUUUUUAUUACUAUAUAUAGUAGGAGACUUAAAGAGUAUCUGCCAGGUUCGUCCAUACUAAUGUUACAAUUUUCUUUUUGUAGUUCAACAGUAUUUUUUGUGGAGAUACUUUGAGGCUCUGUAAAUAUCUGGUUACUCCUCAAAACACACUAGAUUUAGCAUUUCAUGGAUGACUUGUGUUUGAACAAGUGUUACUGUGAUGGUUGCCAGAUGAUUAUUUUUCUUAUUCUCUUCUUUGUUCUACAUGGUGAAAUAAAACCAAUAAAUAAAGG